AGAGUUUGAUCCUGGCUCAGGAUGAACGCUGGCGGCGUGCUUAACACAUGCAAGUCGAACGAUUGAAGCUGGAGCUUGCUCCGGCCGAUUUAGUGGCGGACGGGUGAGUAACGCGUGGGUAACCUGCCUCAUACAGGGGGAUAGCAGUUGGAAACGACUGGUAAAACCGCAUAAGCGCACGGUGUCGCAUGACACAGUGUGAAAACACUCCGGUGGUAUGAGAUGGACCCGCGUCUGAUUAG
rnacentral:rRNA from 1 species